ACCCAUUAAACUGGACGCUCGCGAGUGCGAGAUGCUUUGUUUUCGGGAAAAUGGCGCAUUUGAGUCCGAGGUAUUUGUUGCAAAUGUCGGGGCCUUCCCAAGACUUAAGUUUAUCAUCUGCGACUAGAUCCUUAAAUCUUUGGAGAACUGGAUAGACUUUCUUUAAUAAUGAGCUCGCAAACGGUAGAUCAGGUGUUGGCGGCGAUGGCUGGGGUUUAGGCGGUGCAGGCGGCGGAAGCUGUGGAGGAGGUGGAAGCUGUGGAGGAGGAGGGCUUGGAGGAGGAGAGGGUGGAGGAGGGCAUGGAGGGGGAGAAGGUGGAGGAGGGCAUGGAGGAGGAGGAGGGGGAGGAGGGCAAUCUGCAGGUUCUGGUUCUGGUUCCGGUGAAGGUGACGGUGGAGGAUUGUUGUCGUUACCACCACCGAUAAUGAUUUCUAAGGAUUUUCUGUCGUUAAUGUGGUUGUUUCCGGUGGUUGAAGUGAAGUGGAGAUUUGAAAGUGAAAGAAUGAGAAGAAGAAUUGAGAGAAUUGAAGCCAUUGAGUUGAUGAGAUUUUGUGGUGAGUUUUGAGGAUAAGUAUGGGGACUAUGUAUAUAAGGAGAUUUUAGAGCAUAGAAAUAGAGAAGACUAAGAAGCUUGUGAAGUCAAUGGACAUUGUCUUUUGGGUAGUGGGAGCUACAAUAAUUAUUGAUAUUUUGGGUAGUAGACUAUGUAAGUUUUUACAUAGGUAUGUUUAGUUAUUGAUAUCAAACUGAGAUGUAAUUUUUUUUUUGCUAUAUAAAAAUUUCAUAGUAUGAGUAUCUAAAUUUAUGAGUAGUAUAACUUUGAACUAGGGAAUCAUAUGAAAGCUAGAUAGUUGAAAGUUAAACUAGUCAUAAACUUAUAGUCAUACUAUGAACUUUUAUGAGUAGUAUGAAUUUUAAAAAUGAAAUGGAGAAAGGAAUAAUGAAAUGUAGCAUUUUGAGCUGUUUUUUAUAGUAAAACAUAUUUCAUAGUAAAAUAUAUGAAUUUAAUCAUCUUUGAGUUGUUUAUUGAGUCCAAUAAGUACAUUUACCUGGCCCAACCUUUACUUUUUAUAGAGAAAUACUUUAAAAUAACAUGAAAAAAUUUAUUAUGGACAAUUAUAACACAAACUUCACAAAUUUCCAAAAUUAGCAUUAGUAAUUUUACAUAAUAACUAAUUUAUUUUUAUCUAAAUAUAUAAAAUUAAUUAUGAUUUUAAAUCACAAAUCGUGUGAAUUAUCAAUCAAAUGCUUAUAUUAGUCUUUUUAAUAUUAAUUUCAUGUUAUUUUUGGAAGUUUGAAGAUUGUGUGCUAAAUUUGAUAAGAAAACUUAUUUUUGUUAUUUACGAGAGUUGUCUAUUUUUUUGUUGCCGACAAAACCUCCUAAUAAAUAAAUACUAAUAUAUAAUAUAACAUAUUUAGAAAAGAGAAUUGAACGGAGCAAAAGUUUAUCAAUAAUGAUUAUCAGUGUGGAGUUUUUGGCCAUUUACGGAUGAUUUACCUUUUUGUGAGAACGUUCAUUAGAGAACAUCAGUGAUUUUUCAAGGAUAGUUGGGGAUGGGUGUAUUAUUUUGUAACAACAAACAAGAAAGAGCAUCUCUAAUGGUGAAAUAUUCACCAAGUGUCUCUUAUCAAUAUUAUAAUAUUAUUUAAAUAUAAUUUUGUUAUUUAACUAAAUUUUAAGUGAUAAAUAAAAAUGAACAAAUCAUAUUAAGACAUUAUACUAAGAUAUGUGGUAUUUGGGAUUUUAAAUAAGAUUUUAUAUACUUUAAAAUAAGAACCAUUCUUAUUCUCUUGCCUUUUCUAUUAUUAUUUUUGAUUAAUUAAUAUUAAAAACUCACCAUUGAAGAUGCUCUAAAACAUAGUCAACUUGGUUUUAAAAAAAGAAACUAAAAAAAAAGAUAAAUGUUUAUCUGUUGUUGCUUGUUGUUUGAUACAACAUGUCUCCUCUGAUAUGAGUUACUUUUAAUAUGCAGGAACAAGAGGAUUGGUAGAACGUUAUAUGAAACAAGAGGUAUGAAUAUUAUAUUUUCACUUUUCUCACUCACUACUUUUCUCGUAUUUCAUUUAUUGUUUUUUUUGUAUGACUAGAAAGUCGGAAUUCCAAAUUAAUAACAUGGUUUUUUCAAAUGAUUUGACUAUACCGUAAAGCAACUCAAGUUUCAACCAUUUGUUCGAACUUGUUCUCAAAACUAGUUUCACCCCGAAAAAUAAUGGUUUGUAAAGAUAUGGGCAGAGAAAGAAAAUUGAACUUGGAAAGAAAUUGGAUUAGACAUCACUUAAAAAUAGUAAAUUUGUGCUAAAAGAAAUUUACUGAAAACAUUGCUUAACUUUCUUAUUUACAUAACAUCCUAGCAUUCUUCAACUAAUGAUAACUAUCACUUUAUAGAGAAAGAAAAUAGACAACAUUAUCACAACAUUGACAUAACCUCAUAGGGUCACGGCUUCACUGCUUUCACGGCUUCAAAUGGAUUUUAAAGCCUUUGUAGUAUUUUUUUUGCCAAUCAGACUUUUUUCACUUUAUUUUUUUUGGAAGUUUUUAAAGCUUUUUUUUUUCUUUUUCCUUUAUUUUUCUUUUUGAAAGUCACGUAAAUGAGGCUUUUAAAACAAAUUAAAAGCUUUUCGUUUUCUUCUCUAAACAUAAUUAAAAGUUCUCUACAAAUUACAUAUUUCUUUUUUCAAAACGUUUUUGAUUAAUAAUUAUUAUCAAGUUACUAAUUUUUUUUUAAGAUCCAUUUCACUAAUAAUAAUUUUAUUUUUUAUCAUCAACACUAAUAAAGUUAGAUGUCAUUUCAUUAUCAUUAAUAAAUUUGUUGAUUUUAUGAUAAGUCAAAAAAAUCAUUCAAAACAGUUUUGAGAAAAAAAUUUAGCCAUAAGAAUCAUUCAAGAUGAGUAUUUUAAUUAUUAAUGUGUUUGGAUAUUAAGUGUUUGGAUAUUAAGUGCAUGAAACAAUAAAUAUAAAUAAUGCAAUGUUUGGUCUUUUAAAAAUGAAUGAAUAAUAUAUAUUUUUAAAAAUCAGUAAUAAAGUUUUAUUGUUACUAAUAAAAAAUAACAGUCACAGCUUCUACAACUUUGUUUUACCAAUCUGAUUUUAACAGCCAAAGUCUUUACAGCUAAAUUCUUUGUACCUCAAAUUUUUAAAGUCAAACCUUCUAAAGCCAAAAAUAA
rnacentral:lncRNA from 1 species